AUUGAACGCUAGCGGCAUGCUUUACACAUGCAAGUCGAACGAGUGGCGGACGGGUGAGUAAUGUCUGGGAAACUGCCUGAUGGCGGGGGAUAACUACUGGAAACGGUAGCUAAUACCGCAUACCAUCAGAUGUGCCCAUAUGGGAUUAGCUUGUUGGUGGGGUAACGGCUCACCAAGGCAACGAUCCCUAGCUGGUCUGAGAGGAUGACCAGCCACACUGGAACUGAGACACGGUCCAGACUCCGACGGGAGGCAGCAGUGGGGAAUAUUGGACAAUGGGCGAAAGCCUGAUGCAGCCAUGCCGCGUGUAUGAAGAAGGCCUUCGGGUUGUAAAGUACUUUCAGCGGAGAAGCGUUACCUGCAGAAGAAGCACCGGCUAACUACGGGCCAGCAGCCGCGGUAAUUC
rnacentral:rRNA from 1 species